CAGUCGCCGCGGUAAUACGUAGGGCGCAAGCGUUAUCCGGAAUUAUUGGGCGUAAAGAGCUCGUAGGCGGUUUGUCGCGUCUGCCGUGAAAGUCCGGGGCUCAACCCCGGAUCUGCGGUGGGUACGGGCAGACUAGAGUGAUGUAGGGGAGACUGGAAUUCCUGGUGUAGCGGUGAAAUGCGCAGAUAUUAGGAGGAACACCGAUGGCGAAGGCAGGUCUCUGGGCAUUAACUGACGCUGAGGAGCGAAAGCAUGGGGAGCGAACAGGAUUAGAUACCCCGGUAGUCCCUGUCUCUUAUAA
rnacentral:rRNA from 1 species